GGCUCCGUGGCUUAAUGGUUACGGCUUCUGCCUCAAAAGCAGAAGGUUCCGGGAUCAAAUCCCGGUCGAUACCU
rnacentral:tRNA from 1 species